ensembl:lncRNA
GGAGAGAAUGCGGUGAUUGGAGCCAGCCAUUGCCAUUUAAUUUCUGUGAAAGAAGAGUUAAAAAAAAAAAAAAAGAUAAUACUCUGAGUUAUGAAUGGAAGAGGAAAGUUAUUUGUAAAGUAGGGACUUUAAGACUGCAUACAUACACAUUUUAAUUAUGCUUCUAGGGUUUUCUGGUUUGCUUUGUUGUUGUUUUGGCAUUUGUUUUUUCUCCCAUUUACUUUUUACUUAUUCAUCUUAACAUAUACAUUUUACUUAUUCAUUUCUUCCCAGAUUUCUAAGGUCCACUGGUCUUUUGUGAAAGUUUUCAGAUGCUCAGAAUUGUUUGCUCUUCAAUAACCAAGAACUGGAUAAACUUUAUACACACUCCCUCUGCUAUAUGAAGGAUAAGUAGUCAAAAAAUUAAUACAGAAAAAGUGGAACUUCGUUGACCAGCUAAUAUGUUCACUUCUCAGGCUAAUUUAAGAAAAUUAGAAGCUGUAGGCUAUGCCAAAGCUAGCUGCAGAGCCAAACAGCUAAUUUUCUACUGAGUGCAUAAACAGAAUAACCACAGUACAGACCAUGCUCUUCUGCCUGGUGUCUUAUCCAGGUAUGAUGAGAAGGGGUCACCAGGUGACUGCCCCAUCCCACCCCACUCCCACCCUUUGAUUACGUUCUCCCAGAGAUACAAUCUGUGGCUUGUACUCACUGGGAUUUGGCAGCAGACCCUGGGGGCUUUGUUCCAAUCCCUCUCCUUCUCCAUUCCAACCCCCCCCCCCCCAUCUCUUUGCAGUCCCCCACCAGCUAUUAGUUGGCAGAAACUCACAGUUACAAGAAGGGGCUCAGAGCAGCCAAACUAUUACUCUGUUUGUGCCUGCUUUCCAUACAUUUACAAGUUAAUGGUAGAAACAGUCAUAACAAAUAUUUUUAAGUGAUGUUGUAGAAUAUUCAGAGAAAAUGCACUUCACAUCAUAAAUAUUCAUGCUCUUGUAUUUAAGAAGUAACUACUCCAGGCAGAAAAAUUGUAGGUGUGUUACGUCUAGGCAGAAGACCUCCAGUUUAGAGAUGCAUACAACCAAGAAAGAAUUGGAAAACAUUUCAUGGACAGCCAUAUGAGCACAGAAAUGAUUUCAAACAAACAACUAAAAAACCCCAUGCUAUUUUGUGCUCACAGACAAACACAGCGUAGGGAAAGAAAAUCAUUCUAUCAAAUUCUUAAUUGUUAAGCUCUGAGAUUGACUCUGAGAAGUUAAUAAUUAACUACUAAAAAACUUGUCUGAGCUUCAAUGAGUACUUCCAUCAUUUGUUGCUUUUAAAUGUCAAGAUUAAACCAGCAGGACAGUUGAUAACAAUAUUCCCUCCACCUGGCCGACCCCUCCACUCCUCACACUGGGAUCCCAAAUGCUUCCUCCUGAAGCCCACUCAAGGUGGCCCACUCAUCUUCAUCCAUCUCCCACAGAAGCCUGGCUGGAUAACAGCAGGGAUGCUCUGCUUUAGACAAGGCAUCCUACUGCAGAGGAUAACAUCUCAUGGAAACUCACACAGAGAUGUGAGGGCUCUGUUGGGUCUGUCCUGCCUACCCAACCACAUCCAAGGGGACAUUGCAUGGAACAGCUGAGAGUAAAGCAGAAUCUGAGACCUAGGUUCUUGUUAAAUCAGAGAAUACCAUGGAGCUAAACCACAGUGACUUGAAAACUUACAAUAGUAUCACAGCAGUUUUGCUCAGAGCACAAAUCAAAUGUGGAAGCCUUCCUUUUC